rnacentral:rRNA from 1 species
UUAAUUCAUACAUCUUAUUUAAUUUCUUUUGUUGAUUUAUUUAUUUUUAUUUGAUGUUAAGAUUGAGGGGGAUUAGCUCCUUGUUCUACUUUUAUAAUUUUCUGUUGUUAAUUUAGUUUUGUGGAUUUUAUGGUGAUUUUCUAUUUGAUUAUGUUAAAAUUUUAUUUGUUCUUUUUUUAAUUUUUUGUUAUUUAAGUUAUUUAUUGAAAUGUUUUCUUUACUUUUAGUUUGUGUGGUAAUUAUUGUGUAAUUAGUAAAUUUUAUUGAUUGUUUUGUGAGUAUGGUAGGUGUUAAUUGCUUUUGAGGAAUUCGGCAAAAUUUUAUGUCCGCCUGUUUAACAAAAACAUCUUUUCUCGUUAGUUUUUGAAGUAUGGCCUGCCCACUGACCGUUAAAGUUGAAGGGCCGCGGUAUUUUGACCGUGCAAAGGUAGCAUAAUCAUUAGUUCUUUAAUUGUGAUCUGGUAUGAAUGGCUUGACGAGACAUAAGCUGUCUUAGAGGUAUUUGUUUAUUGAAUUUGGUUUUUGAGUUAAAAUUCUUAAAUGUUUUUAUGGGACGAGAAGACCCUAUAGAGUUUGACAAUUAUUCUUAUUUAUUCGUUGUUUGCUUGUUGCACAUUGAGUGGGAAUAUUGUUUUGUUGGGGUGAUGGGAGGAAUAUUAUUUAACUCCUCUUUGUUUUUGUAUAUUUAUGUAUAUAUUUUUGAUCCAUUUAUUUUGAUUAUAAGAUUAAAUUACC